rnacentral:lncRNA from 1 species
AGCCUUUGAUGGGGAGAGUCUGAGAUGGGACCCAGGAACAUCACCAUGAAGCUGUCCAGGAUGGAUGUGGGACCCUCUGUCAGACCAGGCCAGUUCUCUUAAUGUAAGAUCAGCAGGCCAAGGUCCUGGGAUAUGGGAGCUCCCAGGAAGUGGACUGGGAUGCCUGAGGGAUCCAAGAAUUAGCAGUGUCCUGUGUGGUCUCGCUGAGGGAAGCCAGGCAAAAUCUAGCGGCUCAGCUGUAACAGCCGGAGCUCUUGGCUCCCAAGCAACAGGAAACAAUUCUGGCUUAUUUAAGCAGAAAAGGACUUUAUCAAAAGGAUCUUGGGGAACUCACAAAAUAACCAAGAGGGCUGAAGAAUCCAGUUUGGUGAGUCGACCAAGGAGGCUGCACAGCAGUCAGGACCACAGCCAAAGUCAGGCAAUCCAGGGAUGACCUCGCUGCCAAAUCCAGGACUCCCUGGCAUACACUGCCACCUUGGGACGUGGAUAUGGUCCCUGUUGCCCCAGGAAAUGGAAUGCCAUUGACUUGGCGACUGCCACCAUCCACCAGAAUGGACUUCUGUGCUCCUUGCAUCUCUGUAUUAUCAGUUCCCAACUCCAAGCCUUUGAUGGGGGCAUCUGAUGGAUUGAGCCUAAGGAUUCUGAUGGUGCCUGUUGGCUGCUUCCGUGAUGUCUGGAGUUGCAAAAUGUGCCAGAAAGCAGAAGGAUACACCGCUAUUCAGAGAGGAUUUUCUUAGGGACUUGAAGAAACUGACCUCAAAAUUUCAGUAGAUGAGAGGACUGUGGCUGGCCUGUGUCUUUGGCACUGGUUGUUGGAGCCCAAUGAAAAAUUCUACAUUGAAGACUAAGGGAAAAAGAGGUUUCAUUAUAGAGCUGGGACUGAUUGCAUUUUCAAAAGGUGGCUGUAACAAUAUCCCACACACUUUUCUGCUGUAUAAUCUGCCACUUCUCCAUCAAGUAGAGGAGACAAUUUCUCCCCUCCUUUGAAUCUGAGUGAGUUCUGUGACUGUUUUGACUGAUAGAAUGAUGUGGAAGACAGACUGCGUGACCUGAAAGGUGAGGUCACAGAAAGCCUUGCAACUUCCACCUGGCCUGUGAAGAACACUUGCUCUUGGGAUACUCCUUCUUGGAACCCAGCCACCAUGCUGUAAGAAGCCCAAUCUACAUGCAGACACCACAUAUAAGGCAUCGUAGUCAACAGCCACAGUUAAGUUCCCAGCCGGCAGCCAACAUUAACUACCAGUCUUGUGAGUGAGCUAUCUUGGACAUCCAGCUUGGUUAAACCUUCAGAUGACUCCAGCCCCAGCUGACACCUGACUGCAACCACAUGAGAAACCAGGAAUGAAAAUCCACCAGCUGAGCCCAGUCAACUCAUAGAACUGUGAGAGAUAAUAAUAAGUUGUGGUACUAAGCCACUAGGAUUGGGGCACCAUGCAAUAAUAGGUAACCAAGACAGUAGCAACUUUGGUUAGACACAUGAGCCAUGGGAUGACACAUAAUUAGGUAUAUUUUUAAAAACUUGGAUUCAGCUUUAGGGCAAUGUGUCCCUAACAUAGAGAGGCACUAUUUCAGUUCACAUCUGCUGCCUUUGAUCAAAACACUCUCUUGCACUUCCAGAGAGAGAGAGAGAGAGCAAAUGUGUGUAUUUACUGACAGGUGUCCCUUUGUGUCCCCAUCUGUGUGACUGUGGAGCUCAGUGUCUCUCACACAUUCUAGUAUGAUACUUGGUGCCAUAUUUGCAGGUCCUGAGGUAAGAACCCAUGCUGUCGUCUUCAGAGAGUUUCAUGGGUUGGACUGUGCCAUAUAUGGGCAAAAAUCCACUCACACGUUUUCUUUUAAUCACCUUUAUGGAUGUAUAAUUUACAUAUAUACUUUUUUCUUAUUACUUUUUAUUUAUGUAAUUUAUUCAUUUUUUGAGAUAGGGUCUCACUCUCUUGCCCAGGCUGGAGUGCAGUGGAGUGAUCAUGGCUCACUGCAGCCUUGACCUCCUGGGCUUAAGCAAUCCUCCCACUUCAGCCACCUGAGUAGCUGGGACCACAGGCACACACCACCACUCCUGGCUAAUUUAAAAAGUUGUUUUUUUUUUUUUUUGUAGAGACAGGGUCUCACUAUGUUGUCAAGGCUGGUCUCAAACUCCUGGGCUCAAGCGAUCCUAGUGCCUCAGCCUUCCAAAUUUCCGGGAUUACAAGCAUGAGCCACCAUGCCUGGCAUCUUUUGUGGAUGUAUAAUUUACAUACGUACAAUAAUAUGUACCUAUUUUAAGUAUACAGUUUGAUGAGCUUUGACAAAUGUAGCCCACGAAACCACCACCAUAAUCGAAGUAUAGAACUUUUUUUUUUUUUUUUUUUUUUGAGACGAAGUCUCUCUCUUGUCACCCAGGCUGGAGUGCAAUGGCAUGAUCCCGGCUCACCGAAACUUCCGCCUCCCAGGUUCAAGCGAUUCUCCUGCCUCAGCCUCCUGAGUAGCUGGGAUUACAGGCGCCUGCCACCACGCCCAGCUAAUUUUUGUAUUUUUAGUAGAGACAGUGUUUCACCAUGCUGGCCAGGCUGGUCUCGAGCUCCUGACCUCAGGUGAUCCCCCCUCCUUGGCCUCCCAAAGUGCUGGGAUUACAGGCAUGAGCCACCGCGCCCGGCCUAUAGAACAUUUUAAUCACCCCAGAGACGUGCCCCCUGUGCAGCCAGUUCCCUCCUCUCACCCCCCAGCCCCUGGCAAGCAUUGAUUUGCUUUGCCACUAUCAAUCAAUUUAUGUCUUUUCUGGUAUUUCAUAUGAAUGGAAUCAUAUAGGAUAGAUUUUUAUGUGACUACACACUAUUUUAGCAUAAUAUUUUUGAAGUUCUUCCAUGUUGUUGUGUAUAUCUAUAGUUAAUUUCUUUUUCUCACUGAAUUGUGUACCACUGUAUGAUGUAUCACAAUUUGUUUAUUCAUUCUCCCGUUGCUGGACAUUUGGACUGUUUAUUGUUUGGGGCUACUAUGAAUAAAACUGCUAUGGAUGUUUAUGUA